rnacentral:rRNA from 1 species
CGAUAACUAGUGUGAAUUGCAUAUUCAGUGAAUCAUCGAGUCUUUGAACGCAACUUGCGCUCAUUGGUAUUCCAAUGAGCACGCCUGUUUCAGUAUCAAAACAAACCCUCUAUCCAACUUUUGUUGAAUAGGAUGACUGAGAGUCUCUUGAUCUAUUCUGAUCUUGAACCUCUUGAAAUGUACAAAGGCCUGAUCUUGUUUGAAUGCCUGAACUUUUUUUUAAUAUAAAGAGAAGCUCUUGCGAUAAAACUGUGCUGGGGCCUCCCAAAUAACACAUCUUUAAAUUUGAUCUGAAAUCAGGUGGGAUUACCCGCUGAACUUAAGCAUAUCAAUAAGCGGGAGGAAGGAAGAUCAUUAAAUAAUCAAUAAUUUUGGCUUGUCAUCAUUAUCUAUUUACUGUGAACUGUAUUAUUACUUGACGCUUGAGGGAUGUUCAUUGCUAUAAGGAUAGGCAUUGGAAAUGUUAACGAGUCAUAAUCA